rnacentral:rRNA from 1 species
UACGGGGGGGGCAAGCGGUUGUUCGGAAUUACUGGGCGUAAAGGGCUCGUAGGUGGCCAACUAAGUCAGACGUGAAAUCCCUCGGCUUAACCGGGGAACUGCGUCUGAUACUGGAUGGCUGGAGUAUGGGAGAGGGAUGCGGAAUUCCAAGGUGUAGCGGUGAAAUGACGUAGAUAUCUGGAGGAACACCUAUUGCGAAGGCAGCUCGCUGGGACGUAACUGACGCUGGAGACGCGAAAGCGUGGGGAGCAAACAGG